UGAUGUUUGACUGUGUUAGGAAAGUUUGUCAUAGUGUCAAAGUAUUUCAGUAUACAGGUUUCGCUAAAUUUUGCUGCUAGCAUCUCAUUAGCGAUUAGCAAUUCCGUUGAGCUGCCUUAACGGCGAUUUGGGCUCAUUUUAAGAUAAACUAAAAAAUGCAUUUCCUGAAGGAAAUACCAGUGCAUGAAAUGCAAAAGUUAAGAAAGGAAGAAGAAAAGAAAGAAGAGUGAAAGGAAAGAAGAAAGGAAAGAAGAGUAAAAGAAGGAAAGAAGAGUGGGAGAAGGAAAGAAGAAAGGAAAGAAGAGUGAAGAAAAAAAAGAAGAGUGGAAGAGAAAAGAAGAAAAGAAAGAAGUGUGAAAGAAGGAAAGAAGAGUGGAAGAAAAGAAAGAAGAGUGAAGAAAGGAAAGAAGAGUGGAAAAAGGAAAGAAGAAAAGAAAGAAGAUUGAAAGAAGGAAAGAAGAAAGGAAAGAAGAGUGGAAGAAGGAAAGAAGAAAAGAAAGAAGAGUGAAAGAAAGGAAAGAAGAGUGGAAGAAGGAAAGAAGAGUGGAAGAAGAAAAGAAAGAAGAAAAUGGAGUGAAGCAGAGAGAUGGAGUGUGAGAGAAAGUAGAACUAGAAAAUGCAUUUCCUGAAGGAAAUACCAGUGCAUGAAAUGCAAAAGUUAAGAAAGGAAGAAGAAAAGAAAGAAGAGUGAAAGAAGAAAGGAAAGAAGAGUAAAAGAAGGAAAGAAGAAAGGAAAGAAGAGUGAAGAAAGGAAAGGAGAGUGGAAGAAGGAAAGAAGAGUGGAAGAAGGAAAGAAUGAAGGAAAGAAGAGUGAAGAAAGGAAAGAAGAAAAGAAAGAAGAAAGGAAAGAAGAGUGGAAGAAGGAAAGAAGAAAGGAAAGAAGAGUGAAGAAAGGAAAGAAGAGUGGAAGAAGGAAAGAAUAAAGGAAAGAAGAGUGAAGAAAGGAAAGAAGAAAAGAAAGAAGAGUGAAAGAAUGAAAGAAGAAAGGAAAGAACAGUGGAAGAAGAAAAGAAAGAAGGAAAGAAGAAAGGAAAGAAGAGUAAAAGAAGGAAAGAAGAGUAGAAGGAAAGAAGAGUGAAGAAAGAAAAGAAGAGUAGAAGAAGGAAAGAAGAGUAGAAGAAGGAAAGAAGAAAGGAAAGGAGAGUGGAAGAAGGAAAGAAGAGUAGAAGAAGGAAAGAAUAAUAUUCCUAGUUAUACAGUUGAAUGGAGAGGGACAGAGAGAAGAGGAGCCUUGGAACCUUGGCGCAGGUGUCAGUGAAGCACAGGUGCAAGCCAGUUUAAUGACCCUAUUAUGAUGUCAUAAUGGCCCAAUGUAAGUCAAUGGGAAAAUUUGUAUUGGUUUUUCUUUAAUAUCCUAAAAAGUAUAAAGUUUAGAAAAAUGAAAAAUACAUAGCACAAGUGUCCUUUAUAAGACCUACGAGGCAAAGUUUGAACGAAGUUUCUACGUUAAGCGGUUCGAGCUGAAUUAAGCGCAGAAAAAGGUAAAAAGAAUAACUAGAAAAUGCAUUUCCUGAAGGAAAUACCAGUGCAUGAAAUGCAAAAGUUAAGAAAGGAAGAAGAAAAGAAAGAAGA
ensembl:lncRNA